UUCAUUAAAUGUAAAAUUCGCGUGAUGUAAAUGUACAGUCCUUCUGCAAAUUGUCAGUGCUAUUGAAAACAUCGCUGUUAUAAGCAGAGUCGUUCUUGGAGUAUCGUUAUACAGUACAGAAAUGCUUAGUGGGUUGUUCACGUCUGAUGACAAUUUGCUAGACUCGAAACUUUCACAAUUGGUAACAGUUUUUAGAAGUUGAAUGGAUCAAAUACAAUAACUACACUUCCAUUUCGACAAGUAAAACGACCGAUAUGUUUAUCAGAUUGAAAGCAAACUGGAUUUUCCUGCAUGAAAAUGAUAUUUGCAAAUCUGGACCCCCAUCAGGAUCAAGUGAAAAAAAUAAAUGAAUUGUUGUUGGGUUCAGAAAUGGAAAGGCCAAAAAUAAAUCUAAGUAUGAUGUUUCGCUACUUAAAGGUCUACAACUAAACAACGAUAAAAGCUUAAAUCGUGAAAUCGAACUUGACAUUCAUUUAGUCACAGGAAACAACAUAUCUCAACUUGAAAUAUUUCGUCAAAGCGUUUUCCAGUUAUUGCACGGACAACCCUCUAAGUAUCACUUUUCGCUACUUAAAAGUCUACUAGAACUCAACAACGAUAAAAGCUAAAAAAGCGUGUUCAAGUUAUUGCACGGAAACUGUUUAGUAGCCGCCCGCCCGGCCUCCAGCCCGACUGCCCUGCCGAAUAUAACUGGUAACUAACGGUACAAAAUGCACACUAAAAAUUUAUGGUUAACUCUAAUCAUUGGAUAUGGAACCGUGGCAUUUGGUCAACAUAAUCAACUCUUCCCAGAUUUACAGGCAUGUUAUGAAGAACACAGGCAACUGUUGACCAGGGUAGAGGCACUCGAAAGGAGUACAGUCCAACUGCAAAAUCACGUAAUUCAGUUGGAAACUAAUGCUGAACCAGUUGCAUUUCAAGUACAUCUUUCAACGGACCAGGCUUUGUACUCGAACAGUGCUACAAUUAAGUUUGAUAAUGUUUUCUUAAUAACGGCAGUGGGUACAAUCCAGCAACAGGAAAGUUCACGUGUCUACGUGAUGGCGUUAACAGCUUUACAUGAACCAUCACAAUACCACCACGGGAAGUGUGCCACACCAUGUUCAUUAUUGAUUCAGAACCGAUUAUGAGAGGUUAUCUUGAUCUUCUAAGAACGACCAAUGAUUUUGCAGCAAACAAAAAGUGUUGUCGUUGAAAUGAAAAAUGGAAGUGAAGCUUGGAUCGAAGUAAACUAUUUGUGAACGUAUGCAUCGGGUACACAUCAUGAAGUUACCAUGUUCAAUGGAUUUAAAAUUUAAACAACCUAUUA